rnacentral:misc_RNA from 1 species
CACCACUCAAGCCUGGCUUGGUAUUGGGCGGCGGGACGUCCCCGCGCCCCAAUUUCACCGGCUGGACGACCCGUAUCUCAGCGUUGUGGCAUCAAAUUCGCUGGCGAGAGGGGGGUCCGCGCCGUUAAAACUUCUAUCAAAG